AGCAGCCGCGGUAAUUCCAGCUCCAAUAGCGUAUAUUAAAGUUGUUGCAGUUAAAAAGCUCGUAGUUGAAUUUCGAGAUCAGUACGCUGGUCGUGCCUUCGGUAUGCACUGGUGUCACUGGUUUCUCCCUUCUGAAGAACCGUCAUGUCAUUAAGUUGGUGUGGCGGGGAAUCAGGACUGUUACUUUGAAAAAUUAGAGUGUUUAAAGCAGGCUCGCGCUUGAAUACAUUAGCAUGGAAUAAUGAAAUAGGACGUUUGACCCUAUUUUGUUGGUUUCUAGGAUCGACGUAAUGAUUAAUAGGGAUAGUUGGGGGCAUUAGUAUUCAAGUUGUCAGAGGUGAAAUUCUUGGAUUUAUUGAAGACUAACUACUGCGAAAGCAUUUGCCAAGGAUGUUUUCAUUAAUCAAGAACGAAAUGUUAGGGGAUCGAAGACGAUCAGAUACCGUCGUAGUCUUAACCAUAAACUAUGCCGACUAGGAAUC
rnacentral:rRNA from 1 species